UCUUAUCAUAUCUACUCUUUUUUAUACUAUGCCUAGAACUACUUGUACAAGCCCAAUUUCGCCUGGGGCCCAAUAAAGCCCUUACAAACCAAAAAUAAUAAAACAAACCCAAUUCAAAUUUACAACAGACCCAAUUUAAACCCAACAACCCACAAGCCCAAUACCUAAAAUACCCAAACCCAAGUCAGCCCAAAAUGAACCUACUCCAACCGCCCUGCAAAAUGAAAAGACAACACACAAUCAAGC
rnacentral:lncRNA from 1 species